AGAGGCCCAAGUCGACAGCCUACGGCGUAAAGAGUGGUUAAGCAGCCCCCCCCCUAACUAAAGCCAAACGCCCCCAAAGCCGUUAUACGCACUCCGAAGGGCAGAGGACUCCCCACGAAGGUGGCUUUAAACCAGCUGAACCCACGAAACCUAUAGAACAAACUGGGAUUAGAUACCCCACUAUGUAUAGCUAUAAACUUUGAUAGACCCCUACACGUCUGUCCGCCAGGGAAUACGAGCACC
rnacentral:rRNA from 1 species